GGAGCUGCGUUUGCGGUCCACAUAUCCAGAUGCUCGCUGCCUAGUGAUCGUCAAUACAUACCAGAAACUGAGAAAGUUUUCGCUCGAAGUUUCUAAGUACAUAGCCUUUCGUCAGAGUGCACCGACUUCGAUGGCGAAGCCGCGCCUACACAACUGCACAGACGAAGAUGGCGAGGUUAACGCUAACAUUGCUGGCAUUGACUAUCGUAUAGUUGUCGUGCAAGUAGACAAGUCGACCAAAGACGAUACAGUCGCAAUACAAGCUAGAAAACGCCAUCAUGGCCAGGAUGCGGACGUGUACUUCGUCAAAGUCAAGAGAUUCCUUGUGGACGAGAACCUUUUCUGCCAGAAGUUUCGUGGAUGUGUGACGGCUGAUCAGUUUCGUGACAAGUAAUAUGAUCUGGACGCGUUUGGACCAUUCAGCAAGAUACACCCACGAAAAGGAAAAACACUGGAGCUCACGAUCGUCGUGAAGUUGGGGCGGCAACAUCUUUGGUUGCUUCAACGUCCACCGCUACCACCUCCAACUUGUCCAAGUCAACACCGAAGGCUCUCAAGUCCACCUCGGUCCGAUCCAAGUCAACACCGACGGCUUCCAAAUCCAUCAACAGUGAUGUCGACAGCAGGGACGGAUUUGAGCGUCAAAAGAGAACAACGCCCAUUCCAGACAAGAAACUCGUGAUUCGACUCUUCAUGGCGAGGAGACACGUGACUGCGGAGGCGCUUGCAACUGUCACACUUCCACGUCAAACAAAGAGGAGAACUGUGAUCUUCCAGUGGGUCGCAUCAAAGAUGCUAUUCGAUCAAAACGUACGAUCGCUGACGAUGUGCCGUCUUGAGUGCCAUUCAAAAGGAAUUGGAACCUUUUGCAUGGACCGAGACCGCGCGCAGCAAGAUUCUCCAACACGUCACCUGCACGCUUGAAUCCUCCCACUGCGACCGAUGCCCCGUUCACGCGCGCUGUCCGAAACCG